UACGUAGGGUGCAAGCGUUGUCCGGAAUUAUUGGGCGUAAAGGGCUCGUAGGCGGUUUGUCGCGUCUGCCGUGAAAGUCCGGGGCUCAACUCCGGAUCUGCGGUGGGUACGGGCAGACUAGAGUGAUGUAGGGGAGACUGGAAUUCCUGGUGUAGCGGUGAAAUGCGCAGAUAUCAGGAGGAACACCGAUGGCGAAGGCAGGUCUCUGGGCAUUAACUGACGCUGAGGAGCGAAAGCAUGGGGAGCGAACAGG
rnacentral:rRNA from 1 species